rnacentral:pre_miRNA from 1 species
UUUUUGGGUGUGACCCACAGCCCUCUGAAGUCAAUGGGAGUCUGUCCUUUGACUUCAGUGGGCUUUGGAUCAUGCCCUUUAUGA